rnacentral:rRNA from 1 species
AGUUUGAUCAUGGCUCAGGACGAACGCUGGCGGCGUGCUUAACACAUGCAAGUCGAACGGGUGUAGCAAUACAUCAGUGGCGGACGGGUGAGUAACACGUGAGCAAUCUGCCUUUUACAGGGGGAUAACAUUGAGAAAUCAAUGCUAAUACCGCAUAAGACCACGCAAUCGCAUGAUAGUGUGGUAAAAGGGAUACCGGUAAGAGAUGAGCUCGCGGUCCAUUAGGUAGUUGGUGAGGUAACGGCCCACCAAGCCGACGAUGGAUAGCCGACCUGAGAGGGUGAUCGGCCACACUGGAACUGAGACACGGUCCAGACUCCUACGGGAGGCAGCAGUGGGGAAUAUUGGGCAAUGGAGGAAACUCUGACCCAGCAACGCCGCGUGAGUGAGGAAGGUCUUCGGAUUGUAAAGCUCUGUGGAUAGGGAUGAAAAAAAUGACAGUACCUAUAGAGCAAGCCACGGCAAACUACGUGCCAGCAGCCGCGGUAAUACGUAGGUGGCAAGCGUUGUCCGGAAUGACUGGGCGUAAAGGGUGCGUAGGCGGCUAAUCAAGUUGGAAGUGUAAUCCCCGGGCUUAACUCGGGUGCUACUUCCAAAACUGGAUAGCUUGAGUGUGGGAGAGGUAAGCGGAAUUCCUAGUGUAGCGGUGGAAUGCGUAGAUAUUAGGAGGAACACCAGCGGCGAAGGCGGCUUACUGGACCAUAACUGACGCUGAGGCACGAAAGCGUGGGGAGCAAACAGGAUUAGAUACCCUGGUAGUCCACGCUGUAAACGAUGGAUACUAGGUGUAGGGGGUAUCGACUCCCUCUGUGCCGUAAGCAAACGCAAUAAGUAUCCCGCCUGGGGAGUACGACCGCAAGGUUAAAACUCAAAUGAAUUGACGG